CCUACGGGUGGCAGCAGUGGGGAAUAUUGCACAAUGGGGGAAACCCUGAUGCAGCGACGCCGCGUGGAGGAAGAAGGUCUUCGGAUUGUAAACUCCUGUUGUUGAGGAAGAUAAUGACGGUACUCAACAAGGAAGUGACGGCUAACUACGUGCCAGCAGCCGCGGUAAAACGUAGGUCACAAGCGUUGUCCGGAAUUACUGGGUGUAAAGGGAGCGCAGGCGGGAAGACAAGUUGGAAGUGAAAUCCAUGGGCUCAACCCAUGAACUGCUUUCAAAACUGUUUUUCUUGAGUAGUGCAGAGGUAGGCGGAAUUCCCGGUGUAGCGGUGGAAUGCGUAGAUAUCGGGAGGAACACCAGUGGCGAAGGCGGCCUACUGGGCACCAACUGACGCUGAGGCUCGAAAGUGUGGGUAGCAAACAGGAUUAGAUACCCUAGUAGUC
rnacentral:rRNA from 1 species